rnacentral:rRNA from 1 species
UACGUAGGGGGCAAGCGUUGUCCGGAUUCAUUGGGCGUAAAGAGCGUGUAGGCGGCCAGGUAGGUCGGUUGUGAAAACUGGAGGCUCAACCUUCAGAGGUCGACCGAAACCAUCUGGCUAGAGUCCGGGAGAGGAGAGUGGAAUUCCGUGGUGUAGCGGUGAAAUGCGUAGAUAUCUGGAGGAAUACCGGUGGCGAAGGCGGCAUCCUGGACCGGCAUUGACGCUGAUGAGCGAAAGCUAGGGGAGCAAACGGG